rnacentral:misc_RNA from 1 species
GGACCAGUAGAUGAGAAAAAACAAAAUAAUAAUAAUAAUAAAAAAAAAAAAAGCAAAACUCAUUAUUGCACAAAACUACUACAAGAUCGACGGUCGCCAAUCCAUCGAUCAAGCACCAGGCUUCAACUACUUAUAUACACUGCUUUUAACACGUCAACAACAACGACAACAGCAACAAAAAAUUUUAUUUGUUACAGAGGGAUUAAAAGGAUGGAACCACGAAUCCGUAGAUACUGCCUCGAUCUGCUUCUACUUCAAUAUCUAUUCGCUUCGCGAAUCUUCCUUUGAUUCUUGGCCUCGUCUCGGCAUAAGCUUUUCGCGAUGCGUAUCUGAUUGUCUUCUCGAACUUUCGGUUCUUCCUUUUCUCUCUGUACCUUAACACCCUUGCUUCCCU